UGGGGAAUAUUGGACAAUGGGCGCAAGCCUGAUCCAGCCAUGCCGCGUGAGUGAUGAAGGCCCUAGGGUUGUAAAGCUCUUUCGCCAGGGACGAUAAUGACGGUACCUGGAUAAGAAGCCGGCUGAACUUCGAUGUCCAGCCAGCCGCGGGUAAUACGAAGGGGGCUAGCGUUGUUCGGAAUCACUGGGCGUAAAGCGCACGUAGGCGGAUCUUUAAGUCAGGGGUGAAAUCCCGAGGCUCAACCUCGGAACUGCCUUUGAUACUGGAGGUCUCGAGUCCGGGAGAGGUGAGUGGAACUGCGAGUGUAGAGGUGAAAUUCGUAGAUAUUCGCAAGAACACCAGUGGCGAAGGCGGCUCACUGGCCCGGUACUGACGCUGAGGUGCGAAAAGCGUGGGGAGCAAAACAGGAUUAGAUACCCUGGUAGUCCACGCCGUAAACUAUGGAUGCUAGCCGUUGGGCAGCUUGCUGUUCAGUGGCGCAGCUAACGCUUUAAGCAUCCCGCCUGGGGAGUACGGUCGCAAGAUUAAAAACUU
rnacentral:rRNA from 1 species